AUGCAUAUGACGAGUCCAAAACAGGACGCAAUGCGCAUCCAGGAU
rnacentral:hammerhead_ribozyme from 1 species